rfam:Danio rerio chromosome 4, GRCz11 reference primary assembly.
GUUUGUGUGGCGCAAUCAGUUAGCGCAUUCAACUGUUAACUGAAAGGUUGGUGGUUCAAGCCCACCCAGCGGCG